rfam:Glycine max cultivar Williams 82 chromosome 19, whole genome shotgun sequence.
UUCAAUCGCAGUGAUGAUAAAUGUGAAUCCCAGCUCAUUAUGAGGCCUUGUCUUAAGGUCUGGGAAUAGAAUCCUCCACUUCUAUCUGAGCUUCUC